rnacentral:rRNA from 1 species
GUGGGGAAUCUUAGACAAUGGGCGCAAGCCUGAUCUAGCCAUGCCGCGUGAGUGAUGAAGGCCCUAGGGUUGUAAAGCUCUUUCAGCUGGGAAGAUAAUGACGGUACCAGCAGAAGAAGCCCCGGCUAACUCCGUGCCAGCAGCCGCGGUAAUACGGAGGGGGCUAGCGUUGUUCGGAAUUACUGGGCGUAAAGCGCGCGUAGGCGGACUGAAAAGUUGGGGGUGAAAUCCCGGGGCUCAACCUUGGAACUGCCUUCAAAACUCCUGGUCUGGAGUUCGAGAGAGGUGAGUGGAAUUCCGAGUGUAGAGGUGAAAUUCGUAGAUAUUCGGAGGAACACCAGUGGCGAAGGCGGCUCACUGGCUCGAUACUGACGCUGAGGUGCGAAAGCGUGGGGAGCAAACAGGAUUAGAUACCCCUGUAGUCC